UUUGCCCAACCUGGGGCAAAGUUAACAUGAAAAGAGGAACAAUUCUUAGAAUGCAGUUAUGUGAAUUUCCAAAUUCAGCCCACACUUCCACAUAAAGCCCUUUGCAGAGCCCACGUUUCUCUUCCAAAAGCGUUCCUUUUAAUUUUUUUCGCAUUGAGGAAUAAACAAACUACAGAGAGGGCGUCUAUUUUUGCUCUUUAGGUUAAACGGGGAGACGCCCAGGAUCUCCGUUUUCCUGAAGUUUGACCCCACUUGCAUGGAAACAAGGACCGGACAAACUGUGGCAUCUGCAGGGACCUCCUCUGGGCAGAUGUGGAAGCGUGAUGGGCCUUUCGCAGGCCCUUCCGCAGGCCCUGCCGCAGUGCCUAAUCUAAGGUGCUAGUUAAAACCAGCUGCCUGAAGCGGAACUUUUGCCUGCUUGAAGCUUUGCCUGUGAGCCAAUCUCAGACUGAGCCCUUUCAAAGGAGAGCCUGCUCUGCAUGUGCUUUUCCAGGAUGGAUGAAGGACAUACUGGUAUUUGCAUCCAUUUUCAAGCCUGACCAUGGAAAAGGAUUCAGACCGAUGCCCACUGCCUGCUGCAAAGUCUACGUGUCCUAGUGGGACAAGAUUCAGGAUUGUUUCAGGGGAGAAAUCCUGGCUGAAAUUCAGUGGGACACAUCUACACUCUUGCAAUGAAUGUACAAGGUAUUGGGACCCUCCACUGGAAUGAGCUGUGGCAACACCCAGGGCCAGCUGAGCCAUAUUGGAGCCCAGAGUGAAAGGUAAAACAUGUGUCCUUAUGUCCAUGCGUUCAUUACUUUUAAAAUAGGUUUUAUUUUUAAACACAGCUUUUGGUUCACAGAAAAAUUAAAAAGACAGUCCAGAGAGUUUUCAUCUCCGUCCUUGCCCUGUUUCCCCUGUUAUUAAUGUAACAUCUUACAUCAGCUCUGUACAUUCGUUAUGAUGAAUAAACCAAUAUUGCUAUUCUAUCA
rnacentral:lncRNA from 1 species